rnacentral:rRNA from 1 species
UACGGGGGGGGCAAGCGUUGUUCGGAAUUACUGGGCGUAAAGCGUGCGCAGGCGGCUUUGCAAGACAGGUGUGAAAUCCCCGGGCUUAACCUGGGAACUGCAUUUGUGACUGCAUGGCUGGAGUGCGGCAGAGGGGGAUGGAAUUCCGCGUGUAGCAGUGAAAUGCGUAGAUAUCGAGAGGAACACCUGCGGCGAAGGCGGGUUGCUGGGCUGACACUGACGCUGAUGCGCGAAAGCCAGGGGAGCGAACGGG